GAUGAACGCUGGCGGCGUGCCUAAUACAUGCAAGUCGAGCGAACAGACGAGGAGCUUGCUCCUCUGACGUUAGCGGCGGACGGGUGAGUAACACGUGGAUAACCUACCUAUAAGACUGGGAUAACUUCGGGAAACCGGAGCUAAUACCGGAUCAUAUAUUGAACCGCAUGGUUCAAUAGUGAAAGACGGUUUUGCUGUCACUUAUAGAUGGAUCCGCGCCGCAUUAGCUAGUUGGUAAGGUAACGGCUUACCAAGGCGACGAUGCGUAGCCGACCUGAGAGGGUGAUCGGCCACACUGGAACUGAGACACGGUCCAGACUCCUACGGGAGGCAGCAGUAGGGAAUCUUCCGCAAUGGGCGAAAGCUUGACGGAGCAACGCCGCGUGAGUGAUGAAGGUCUUCGGAUCGUAAAACUCUGUUAUUAGGGAAGAACAAAUGUGUAAGUAACUAUGCACGUCUUGACGGUACCUAAUCAGAAAGCCACGGCUAACUACGUG
rnacentral:rRNA from 1 species